rnacentral:misc_RNA from 1 species
GAUGAAGAACGUAGCGAAACGCGAUACGUAAUGUGAAUUGCAGAAUUCAGUGAAUCAUCGAAUCUUUGAACGCACAUUGCGCCCCUUGGUAUUCCGAGGGGCAUGCCUGUUCGAGCGUCAUUAUAACCCCUCAAGCUCAGCUUGGUGUUGGGGCCUGCCGCACGGGCAGCCCUUAAAAUCAGUGGCGGUGCCAUCUGGCUCUAAGCGUAGUAAUUCUUCUCGCUAUAGAGUCCCGGUGGAUGCUUGCCAUUAACCCCCAAUUUUCUAUGGUUGACCUCGGAUCAGGUAGGGAUACCCGCUGAACUUAAGCAUAUCAAUAAGCGGAGGA